CACAAACCAACUGGCCAGCUACAAGCACCUAUGCAUCCAAUGUUGCUGUGUUUCUGCCUCGGCUUGGACAGCCCAUUGUCCCAGCCCCAAUGUCAUGGCCAUUUCAGCACCUAGACCUCUAACAAAAGGCUUCAUCCUUUCCCCUUUCCAACCUCUUGGCCAUCCUCCUCUGCUUUAGCUUUCUCUGGUUAGCACCACCUCCUGAAGAAAACACAUGAACAAAUAAAAACAUUUAAUUUAUUUCCUAGAAAAACACAUCAAGAGGUCGUUAGUUUUCUUACCUGGGUUGUUACAAGCAGCAGCACUAAAAUGACUAUCAUCUUCAUCGGCAUUUUGUCAAACAGCUAGGGUGUGUUCUUUAACUGCACUCCUACUCCAUCAUUGCUUGAAAAAGGUAAUCAAGCCAUGUUCAUUUAAAUGAUGUCGAGCAACGAAAGAAGGGAGUGUUGUUGAGAGUUGAAGCAAAACUGGAAUCAAACAAACUAGUAUAAGAUAUGGAAAGCCAAAGCUGUUACUUAAAUUGCCCUCUUCGGUCAUCCACUUCUUCUUUUAAAUUCCUCGGUCUGAG
rnacentral:lncRNA from 1 species